ensembl:lncRNA
CAGCUGCUCCUUCUGCCAGGCCUGGCAUCCGGAUGCCACGCACUGGCCUCCUCUGAUCCGGGGCUCAUCCAGGGCCGCCUCCCUAUGCCAGACUCUGCAGGACACUUUCAUUUUGUCCAGAAAAGCUACGAGUGGCCUUGGCAGUCUUGCCUUGGAGAAGGGGGAGGCGCUGACCCAUGUCACAGGCGCAUGGUCUAUCCUGGUCUGGUCCAACUGCUCAUCUCCAGGCAGCCCCCGG